UGGGGAAUUUUGGACAAUGGGGGAAACCCUGAUCCAGCCAUCCCGCGUGUGCGAUGAAGGCCUUCGGGUUGUAAAGCACUUUUGGCAGGAAAGAAACGUCGCGGGUUAAUACCCCGCGAAACUGACGGUACCUGCAGAAUAAGCACCGGCUAACUACGUGCCAGCAGCCGCGGUAAUACGUAGGGUGCAAGCGUUAAUCGGAAUUACUGGGCGUAAAGCGUGCGCAGGCGGUUCGGAAAGAAAGAUGUGAAAUCCCAGAGCUUAACUUUGGAACUGCAUUUUUAACUACCGGGCUAGAGUGUGUCAGAGGGAGGUGGAAUUCCGCGUGUAGCAGUGAAAUGCGUAGAUAUGCGGAGGAACACCGAUGGCGAAGGCAGCCUCCUGGGAUAACACUGACGCUCAUGCACGAAAGCGUGGGGAGCAAACAGGAUUAGAUACCCUGGUAGUCCACGCCCUAAACGAUGUCAACUAGCUGUUGGGGCCUUCGGGCCUUGGUAGCGCAGCUAACGCGUGAAGUUGACCGCCUGGGGAGUACGGUCGCAAGAUUAAAACUUAAAUGAAUUGACGGGGGUCAUAGCUGUUUU
rnacentral:rRNA from 1 species